GUCUAAGGCCAUACCAUCCUGAAAAUGCUGGACUCCACUUAAUCUCAGUUGUUAAGCAGGGUCAGACCUGGUUCUUGCUUGAGCCU
ensembl:rRNA 5S_rRNA 5S ribosomal RNA